CAGUCGACGCUUCUUUUUCCCCGGAGCUUGCUCCACCGGAAAAAGAAGAGUGGCGAACGGGUGAGUAACACGUGGGUAACCUGCCCAUCAGAAGGGGAUAACACUUGGAAACAGGUGCUAAUACCGUAUAACAAUCAAAACCGCAUGGUUUUGAUUUGAAAGGCGCUUUCGGGUGUCGCUGAUGGAUGGACCCGCGGUGCAUUAGCUAGUUGGUGAGGUAACGGCUCACCAAGGCCACGAUGCAUAGCCGACCUGAGAGGGUGAUCGGCCACAUUGGGACUGAGACACGGCCCAAACUCCUACGGGAGGCAGCAGUAGGGAAUCUUCGGCAAUGGACGAAAGUCUGACCGAGCAACGCCGCGUGAGUGAAGAAGGUUUUCGGAUCGUAAAACUCUGUUGUUAGAGAAGAACAAGGAUGAGAGUAACUGUUCAUCCCUUGACGGUAUCUAACCAGAAAGCCACGGCUAACUACGUGCCAGCAGCCGCGGUAAUACGUAGGUGGCAAGCGUUGUCCGGAUUUAUUGGGCGUAAAGCGAGCGCAGGCGGUUUCUUAAGUCUGAUGUGAAAGCCCCCGGCUCAACCGGGGAGGGUCAUUGGAAACUGGGAGACUUGAGUGCAGAAGAGGAGAGUGGAAUUCCAUGUGUAGCGGUGAAAUGCGUAGAUAUAUGGAGGAACACCAGUGGCGAAGGCGGCUCUCUGGUCUGUAACUGACGCUGAGGCUCGAAAGCGUGGGGAGCAAACAGGAUUAGAUACCCUGGUAGUCCACGCCGUAAACGAUGAGUGCUAAGUGUUGGAGGGUUUCCGCCCUUCAGUGCUGCAGCUAACGCAUUAAGCACUCCGCCUGGGGAGUACGACCGCAAGGUUGAAACUCAAAGGAAUUGACGGGGGCCCGCACAAGCGGUGGAGCAUGUGGUUUAAUUCGAAGCAACGCGAAGAACCUUACCAGGUCUUGACAUCCUUUGACCACUCUAGAGAUAGAGCUUCCCCUUCGGGGGCAAAGUGCCAGGUGGUGCAUGGUUGUCGUCAGCUCGUGUCGUGAGAUGUUGGGUUAAGUCCCGCAACGAGCGCAACCCUUAUUGUUAGUUGCCAUCAUUCAGUUGGGCAUUUUAGCAAGACUGCCGGUGACAAACCGGAGGAAGGUGGGG
rnacentral:rRNA from 1 species